rnacentral:rRNA from 1 species
UGAGGAAUAUUGGUCAAUGGGCGGGAGCCUGAACCAGCCAAGUCGCGUGAAGGAAGAAGGAUCUAUGGUUCGUAAACUUCUUUUGCAGGGGAAUAAAGUGCAGGACGUGUCCUGUUUUGUAUGUACCCUGAGAAUAAGGAUCGGCUAACUCCGUGCCAGCAGCCGCGGUAAUACGGAGGAUCCGAGCGUUAUCCGGAUUUAUUGGGUUUAAAGGGUGCGUAGGUGGAUCGUUAAGUCAGUGGUGAAAGUUUUCAGCUCAACUGAAAAAUUGCCGUUGAAACUGUCGAUCUUGAGUGCAAAUGAGGUAGGCGGAAUGUGUUGUGUAGCGGUGAAAUGCUUAGAUAUAACACAGAACUCCGAUUGCGAAGGCAGCUUACCAAGCAAUAACUGACGCUCAUGCACGAAAGCGUGGGGAUCAAACA